UACGUAGGGUGCGAGCGUUGUCCGGAAUUAUUGGGCGUAAAGAGCUUGUAGGCGGUCUGUCGCGUCUGCUGUGAAAAUCCGGGGCUCAACCCCGGACUUGCAGUGGGUACGGGCAGACUAGAGUGAUGUAGGGGAGACUGGAAUUCCUGGUGUAGCGGUGAAAUGCGCAGAUAUCAGGAGGAACACCGAUGGCGAAGGCAGGUCUCUGGGCC
rnacentral:rRNA from 1 species